rnacentral:misc_RNA from 1 species
UUGUUUUGUUUAUGCUCAAUUAAGAGACUGUUGACAUUCUUAUAACUUGUAAUGGGUUUAAAAUGGGUGUAAAAAAUAGUAGUGUGCACAGUGUGAAAAUGAUUUGGGUCGGGCUUCUAAAAAGAACACCCUUGCAUUUCAUUAAUGAUCCUUCCGCAGGUUCACCUACGGAAA